AGACGAGAACAUGCAGGGGAUCCACCUUCCACUAUUCUUCUAUUGCAGGAGCUCAGAUUCAAACAAUAAAACCCCCGAAAAAAAAUGCAAGCAAAACCAAAAGACUGACUCUUUUAAGAUAUAUUUUCUAAUGGUAGAUUAUGACUAACUUCAUACCUCUUUUUUGUUCAAUUUCUCUCACCCAACUUUUUCCUCUGUUUUUCCUUUUUUUCUCCCAACUUUUCAACCUUUUUCUUAUGUAUAUAUAUUUCAACUCUUGUAACUCUCUCCAAUAUUUUCUCCCACUCCAACAGUAAAA
rnacentral:misc_RNA from 1 species